rnacentral:rRNA from 1 species
UACGUAGGUGGCGAGCGUUGUCCGGAUUUACUGGGCGUAAAGCGCGCGCAGGCGGCGGUUUAAGUCCUCUGUGAAAUCGCCCGGCUCAACUGGGUGGCUGCGGAGGAGACUGGAUUGCUAGAGGGGCCUAGAGGCCGGUGGAACUCCCGGUGUAGUGGUGAAAUGCGUAGAGAUCGGGAAGAACACCAGUGGCGAAGGCGGCCGGCUGGGGGGCGCCCUGACGCUGAGGCGCGAGAGCGUGGGGAGCAAACCGG